UGCAGCCUUGUCAAAUUCAGUGUUCGCCCCUCAAUGGCAGGCACUGGUCCAGCUGGCUGCCACACCAUCAUUGCAGCUCAUGGGCCCCACAAUCCUCCUCUUGGACCCUGGGGAUAAAAUCCUGCUGCAGACACCU
rfam:Alligator mississippiensis ScZkoYb_636, whole genome shotgun sequence.